rnacentral:rRNA from 1 species
AGCGAACGCUGGCGGCAGGCCUAACACAUGCAAGCCGAACGAACCCUUCGGGGUUAGCGGCCGACGGGUGAGUAACACGUGGGAACGUGCCUUUAGGUUCGGCAUAACUCAGGGAAAGUUGUGCUAAUACCGAAUGGGCCCUUCGGGGGAAAGAUUUAUCGCCUUUAGAGCGGCCCGCGUCUGAUUAGCUAGUUGGUGGGGUAAUGGCUCACCAAGGCUACGAUAAGUAGCUGGUCUGAGAGGAUGACCAGCCACAUUGGGACUGAGACACGGCCCAAACUCCUACGGGAGGCAGCAGUGGGGAAUCUUGCGCAAUGGGCGAAAGCCUGACGCAGCCAUGCCGCGUGGAUGAUGAAGGUCUUAGGAUUGUAAAAUCCUUUCACCGGUGAAGAUAAUGACUGUAGCCGGAGAAGAAGCCCCGGCUAACUUCGUGCCAGCCGCCGCGGUAAUAC